rnacentral:rRNA from 1 species
AUUGAACGCUGGCGGCAGGCUUAACACAUGCAAGUCGAGCGGGGAAAGGUAGCUUGCUACCUGACCUAGCGGCGGACGGGUGAGUAAUGCUUAGGAAUCUGCCUAUUAGUGGGGGACAACAUUCCGAAAGGAAUGCUAAUACCGCAUACGCCCUACGGGGGAAAGCAGGGGAUCUUCGGACCUUGCGCUAAUAGAUGAGCCUAAGUCAGAUUAGCUAGUUGGUGGGGUAAAGGCCUACCAAGGCGACGAUCUGUAGCGGGUCUGAGAGGAUGAGCCGCCACACGGGGACUGAGACACGGCCCAGACUCCUACGGGAGGCAGCAGUGGGGAAUAUUGGACAAUGGGCGAAAGCCUGAUCCAGCCAUGCCGCGUGUGUGAAGAAGGCCUUUUGGUUGUAAAGCACUUUAAGCGAGGAGGAGGCUACUUGGAUUAAUACUCUAGGAUGGUGGACGUUACUCGCAGAAUAAGCACCGGCUAACUCUGUGCCAGCCGCCGCCGUAAGAC